rnacentral:rRNA from 1 species
CAUGAUGAAACAAUACAACACUUAUUUAUAGAAUGCCCACUCGCCAAAUUGCUUUGGAGAAUGAUCUGUAUAGCCUUUAACAUUACUCCUCCCAUUGACAUUGAAUCGUUGUUUGGAACAUGUUUAGCUGGGGUUGAGCAUAUUACUAUGGCUCGUAUUCGGAUUGGAAUAUGUGCGCUUUUAUGGGCUAUAUGGAAUUGCAGGAAUGAUAUGGUUUUUAACAGGCAACAUACUUUAACUUUCUUGCAGGUCAUCUUCAAAGCUAUCGCAUUGAUCCGUACGUGGUCCUUACUCACUCCUAUGGACUCCAAGGAGCCUUUGGCUACUGGGUGCAACAAGUGGGAGAUGGUAACAUGA